GGCGAGAUAGCUCAGCUGGUUAGAGCGUAUGAUUCAUAAUCAUAAGGUCCCCGGUUCAAUCCCGGGUCUCGCUA
rnacentral:tRNA from 1 species